rnacentral:rRNA from 1 species
UGCCACCUGUCCCCAAAUAGGUGGUCCAUCCUGCCCAGUGAUAAGCAUUCAACGGCCGCGGUAGCCCGUGCUAAGGUAGCAUAAUCACUCGCCUCUUAAUUAGAGGAUAGAAUGAAUGGACAAACGAAAGUUUUACUGUCUCCUUUUUACAACUAAAAAUUAACAUUCGAGUGAAGAGGCUCGAAUAUAAUAAAAAGACAAAAAGACCCUGUAGAGCUUUAUUUUAAUUGUACAUACCCACAUAUUCAUAAAUCAAUUUAUUGUAUAAAAAAAUUUGGUUGGGGCAACCGGGGGUCCACCAAACCACCCCCUACCACACCAGACCUCUAUGUCAUCCAAACGAAGUAUCCUAAACAUUCAUAAGAAAAAGCUACCUCAGGGAUAACAGGCCAAUCCUUCUAGAGAGUCCCUAUCGACAGAACUGGGCUUGGUACCUCGAUGUUGGCUUAAGGCACGCCCCCUUAAUGCAGAAGUUUAGGGGGCAGGUCUGUUCGACCUUUAAAUCCUUUCAUGAG